GAAGAGGAUUUUGAUGGAGUUGAAGAGGGUAAAGACGAGGAUGAGGAGGAGGAAGAGGAGGAUGAUGGUGAUGAUGAUGAUGAGGAUUAACAAAAAUGAGUGGGUGGCCUUAAUUCUGUCUAGUUGUUGGGCUUGCUUUAGUAAGAACUUGUGAAAAGCUCUCUGUGGUUGCUAAGUAUGGUUCUGGGGAGGUUCACCAUCCUCAAGAUAGCUUUCUUUUUGCUCAUCUCUCUUUUACCUUUUAUAACUAU